UUGGCCAUGAAAGCUGAAGAC
rnacentral:miRNA from 1 species